GAUAAUGUUUUAUUAUUCUCUAAUGUUUGAUGAUUGUUCAUACAGCCGUUGGCAAAUGGUAAUGCUUUCCCCUCCAUCCAUUUCUUGUUUCUACAAUGCUAAUCUUGUGUUUAUUACACUAUUUACUAAGUCGUCUACAAUCUAUUUCUACAAUCUAAUGCUAAUGAUAUUUAUGCUUUGACAAGUACAGUAGAAGUCAUCAUUAUGUUCUCUAAAGCUUGGUGUGGUCAAUAAUGCCUUCUUGUCGAAGGAUAUGUCCAACUUUAUCACCCGUGAUCUUAUCAGUGUCUUAGAAGGAUUUAAACCCGAAGCUCUGAGCUGUGGGCGGUAGGGGUGGUCCUAAUGACAGGCUCUGAGAAAUCUCCUCCUGGCCACGGUAAAACAAAGGCCCAUGUGGUUUCGUUCUUGGAGGACUGCAACAGUCCAGAUUGUCUAUUGAGGUGUGAAACAUUAAACUGCAGUUUUUUCCCUACUGUUUUAUUUAUCCUAUUAGAUCUGAUAACAUUUGUUAAUGAGAUUAUGAGGUUGUCUUUAUUAAACUCACAGGCUGCAGAAAGAAAGAA
rnacentral:lncRNA from 1 species